UACAGAGGUCCCAAGCGUUGUUCGGAUUCACUGGGCGUAAAGGGUGCGUAGGUGGCCAGGUAAGUUUGGUGUGAAAGCUCGGAGCUUAACUCCGAAAUGUCAUUGAAUACUAUCUGGCUGGAGGGUCGGAGGGGAGACUGGAAUUCUCGGUGUAGCAGUGAAAUGCGUAGAUAUCGAGAGGAACACCAGUGGCGAAGGCGAGUCUCUGGACGACUCCUGACACUGAGGCACGAAAGCCGGGGGAGCAAACGAGG
rnacentral:rRNA from 1 species